rnacentral:rRNA from 1 species
UACGUAGGGUGCGAGCGUUAAUCGGAAUUACUGGGCGUAAAGCGUGCGCAGGCGGUUUUGUAAGCCAGAUGUGAAAUCCCCCGGGGCUUUAACCUGGGAAUGGCAUUUGGGGACUGCAAGGCUCGAGUGCGGCAGAGGAGACUGGAAUUCCUGGUGUAGCAGUGAAAUGCGUAGAUAUCAGGAGGAACACCGAUUGCGAAGGCAGCUCGCUGGAACGUUACUGACGCUGAGACGCGAAAGCGUGGGGAGCAACAGG